AUCAGGCCCCUACCCCUGCCUUGCUUCAUCCUCGUGUUCUCUUCCUGGCGCGCCCUCCCCCCAUCUCCUCUUCGCCGGGGUUAUCAGCGACGGCUUUCGGGGACGCACGCGGAAGCCACGGCGGAUCGAGAAGGAGCUCGCCCCCAUGCGGGCGGUGGGGCGCUGACGGCCUGAUGAUGGGCAGGACGAGCGUGAACGCGUCCGGUGGCCGGCUGUGGGGGAUCAGGUGUCCAACCAUUAAUUUUUCAUGAGGAGAUGUACCUAAUUUCAGGACUACAUGUCAGUUAUUCAGUUUGUGGCAGGAGCAUAAAAGGGGACAAGAUCACCUCACAGUGCCCUCUAACACGAAGAUCCCAAUGUAUCGGAGGGCCUAUCCAACCAGAGGAGGUGGCGGCAGAAUCAGCACCGGCGACAAUCACGGUGGAUGUGAUGUGCUUGGCGUGGUGGCGGUCCCCGGCAAAGUGGAGGGCCGCCGCCGUGGUGCUAGACUUGGAGCAUGCAUGUGUCGGUUAUAAUGUGGCAGCAACCUGGUUAUCUUACACGAUAUUUGAAAGUGUUUUCCAUGACCCAACAUUGGUGAGUUCAGUUUUACUAAUUUAUUCUAUGUAACUUCUCUGUUCUUAUCAAAUUGGAGUUGAGGAAGCAAGCUUCUGGGACAUGAGGAAGUAAGCUUUUGGGACAUGGUACCAUGCACGAAUGCCCAAACUGUCAGUACUUAUCUUGCAUCAUCAUAUUAAUUAAUCUCGUUGAGCUUUAAUAUUCCUUUUAUCAUACGUAUUAUCUUGGUGCAAGCAAGCGCAAAAUGACUAAUGCAAGGUAGCCGUGACAUGAUUUGCGCUGUAAGAUUGAUGGACCAGCUAUUUUGAGCAACGUUGGAGAAAGGCGUCCAAAUUCAUGGAUACUUAGUCCUUCGACUAAUGUUCCAAAUGAUCAUGUCAGUUUGCGGGUUUCGAAAGAGGAAGAUCAUGAAAAUUGGCAUUAUUUGUGCUGCUUCUUUUUCUGAACUAUCCCCAUCACAAUCACUUGAGUGUACUGUUUUUGCAAUUUUCAAACCAUCCAUCAUUGACACCUACAGGAAUCAAUAUUAAUGUUUUUUUUAUUUUAAAAUUGAAUUUUACAAUAAAUGAACAAAGGAUCAAGGGACCAUAUAGGCUUCCACGGUUCUCUUAGGAGCACACUGCAUUGUUACUUCUGGUUAUCUAGACUAAUUGAUGCAAUUUUGCAUCGACAUGGUAUAUUACCACCCAAGCUUUGGUUGUAUAUAUUGUAGUUUAUUUGUUGGCACAAGUACCCAAGUUGAAUUUCAUGAUGCAUACUUGCAAUCUUGUUCGGUUGUUGCGAGGAACUUUCGUCUAUUUAUGUUUUCACUAUAGAUUUAGAAUUUUCAUCCACAUCCUAUUCUUUCUAAUGGAAGGUGGAUUUUCGUUACAUUUUUCCAUUUGUGGUUUAGGUAGGCCAGGUGAACUGAAAAUAGUUUCACAAGUACACUAUAUGUGCCUUUACAUAUAUUUUUUCAUUCUACUUAAGGUAUGUGGUUUUUUAAGCGUCUCAAAUUUCAGUUUGGUUUGAUUUAAUGAUUUAUCACUGUCUGAAACACUGGAGUUGUACUACUUGCAGGGGAAUUCCAGACAGAUUUCAUCCAUUCAGUAAAGGCAUAUGUUCAAACAUCCGUGGCUUCAGAAGUUCAGAUUCACUUGAAACUCUGUUAGGUGAGUGUUGACACUUCCGAAUAAUGUUCAUUCUAGCUAUGAUUGUUUAUGUCAGUAUACAGUUUGCUCUCACCUUUUCCCCAAAGUGCAUGGGUAAGGCAGGCGGGGCACUGCAGCUCGAGCCAUGGCCAUGGCCGGUGCAUGACAGUAAUAAUCAAAUGGUUUGUUGCUUACCUUAUGCCGAAGAGGGGUUGCUUCUGUCGUCCUCACCGUCCGUGUCCAGCACCUCGCCCUUGCUUCCUCCAUGGACAAUGUUGCGCCCUGCCCCGACACGCCCAAAUCUGAAGAGAAGAGGUGGAACAAACAGGGCGUCAGUCAGUCAGCCUCUUCGAUUCACGCAUGGGACUCAGCGGAAAUGCUGGCACUGAGGAGGGAUUCAUCACCUAAUUGGUGCUUCGAGCCGUCGAUGCCCACCGGCGAGGCAAUCUGGUUCUCGGAGGGGCCGACUACGCAUGCACACAUUGGGAUUGGUCAGGGGCGUGGGCGAGAAGGGGAGGUAGGUGGAGGUGAAUGCAGAUGCACGUAGGGAGAGGUGCUUACUGAGCGGGGCGAUGUGGAUGGCGUCAAACUUGGUGUUGGAGAAGUAGACGCAGGUGACGAGGAGGAAGCUAGCGACGAGGCCGAUGCCGAAGUUGUACAGCUUGACGGUGCGGCUGAAGGCCUCGAGUGGCGGUGUCGUGGUGGCGCGCGUAGCCCGCCUUGGCACCACUGCUAUCCAUGGCCGACUGACCUCCUCUCAUCUCCUUCCUCUGCCUCUGCUCCUCUCUCCCCCUCCCUCUGCUCUGUUUGACUGUUGGCAAGACACGUGCCGAGGGUGAGCGGAGCAGGUGCGCCACACGUAUGUAGCUAGCUAGCUGGGUGAGAGAGUACGUGUCCUCACGCGCUUAUUACAUCGCCGAAGCAUGAAUCAGCGGCAUUGUAGUAGACAUAAUGUAAAUCACAUGUUACCCUUCUCUGUAUUGCAACUCAAUUCUACUACCAAACCUAAAAAAAAAGAACACCCUAUAAAUUCAUAUGGCGCGGCGUGUGGCCAGGCAUUGCAUGUUGUCCACCAUCUAUGCAAUCUUCCCAAUAUAGUCAUCAACGACUACGACUACAAUGCUCUGAAGACAAUGUAUAAGAGCUAUUUGGCCGCCCAAGAAUGAAGAAGGACCAAGAAAGAAGAGUUAUUACAAAUACAAAAACAACAAAAGGCAAGCCUUCAAUGAGACAAAUGAAGACGAAUAAGGAUACUCAAGAAAGUUUGCCUUCAAUUUCA